rnacentral:rRNA from 1 species
CUGGAAUGAAUGGUUGGAUGAAAAAUAUAUUUUCUUUUUUUUAAAAUUUAAAAAUUUAAUUUUUUAGUUAAAAAGCUAAGAUUAAGUUAUAAGACGAGAAGACCCUAUAGAACUUUAUUAUAUUUUUAUAUGUUUAUAUAUAGGAAAUUAUAUUUAAUAUAUAUAAAAUAUAAUUUUGUUGGGGUGACAGAAAAAAUUUAAUAACUUUUUUUAUUUUUUUCAUUAUGUAUGAAUAAAUGAUCCUUUUUUAGGGAUUAAAGAUCAAGUUACCUUAGGGAUAACAGCGUUAUUAUUUUGGAGAGUUCAUAUCUAUAAAAUAGUUUGCCACCUCG